ACACGACUACAUUAGAUACCCGUGUAGUCCCAGCCCUAAACGAUGCGCGUUAGGUGUAUCGGUGACCACGAGUCACCGAGGUGCCGAAGGGAAACCGUGAAACGUGCCGCCUGGGAAGUACGGUCGCAAGGCUGAAACUUAAAGGAAUUGGCGGGGGAGCACCACAACGGGUGGAGCUUGCGGUUUAAUUGGAUUCAACGCCGGAAAUCUUACCGGGACCGACAACAACAUGAAGGCCAGGCUGAAGACUUUGCCGGAUUAGCUG
rnacentral:rRNA from 1 species